CCUACGGGGGGCAGCAGUGGGGAAUAUUGGACAAUGGGGGCAACCCUGAUCCAGCCAUGCCGCGUGUGUGAAGAAGGCCCUCGGGUUGUAAAGCACUUUCAGUGAGGAAGAACGCCUGGUGGUUAAUACCCAUCAGGAAAGACAUCACUCACAGAAGAAGCACCGGCUAACUCCGUGCCAGCAGCCGCGGUAAUACGGAGGGUGCGAGCGUUAAUCGGAAUUACUGGGCGUAAAGCGCGCGUAGGUGGCUUGAUAAGCCGGUUGUGAAAGCCCCGGGCUCAACCUGGGAACGGCAUCCGGAACUGUCAAGCUAGAGUGCAGGAGAGGAAGGUAGAAUUCCCGGUGUAGCGGUGAAAUGCGUAGAGAUCGGGAGGAAUACCAGUGGCGAAGGCGGCCUUCUGGAAUGACACUGACACUGAGGUGCGAAAGCGUGGGUAGCAAACAGGAUUAGAUACCCCAGUAGUC
rnacentral:rRNA from 1 species